rnacentral:rRNA from 1 species
CCCUUAGAUGUCCUGGGCUGCACGCGCGCUACACUGAUGUGUCCAGCAAGCACCUAACCUCUUCCGAAAGGAACGGGUAACCUUUGCAAAGCACAUCGUGAUGGGGAUAGAUUAUUGCAAUUGUUAGUCUUGAACGAGGAAUUCCUAGUAAGCACAAGUCAUCAGCUUGUGUUGAUUACGUCCCUGCCCUUUGUACACACCGCCCGUCGCUCCUACCGAUUGAAUGUUCCGGUGAGCUCUUCGGACUGCGCGGUCUGCAGUUUCUGCGUUCCGUGCGAAAAGUUGCGCAAACCUUAACAUUUAGAGGAAGGAGAAGUCGUAACA